rnacentral:rRNA from 1 species
ACGGGAGGCAGCAGUGAGGAAUAUUGGUCAAUGGAGGCAACUCUGAACCAGCCAUCUCGCGUGAAGGAAUACGGCCCUACGGGUCUUAAACUUCUUUUAUAGGGGGAUAAAGUGAGGCAUGCAUGCCUUUUUGUAGGUACUCUAUGAAUAAGCAUCGGCUAACUCCGUGCCAGCAGCCGCGGUAAUACGGAGGAUGCGAGCGUUAUCCGGAUUUAUUGGGUUUAAAGGGUGCGCAGGCGGCACGUUAAGUCAGCGGUGAAAUGCAGGGGCUCAACCCCGGCACUGCCGUUGAAACUGGCGAGCUCGAGUACGGAUGAAGUCGGCGGAAUGUGAUGUGUAGCGGUGAAAUGCUUAGAUAUGUCACAGAACGCCGAUUGCGAAGGCAGCGUACUGGGACGCGACUGACGCUGAGGCACGAAAGUGCGGGGAUCGAACAGGAUUAGAUACCCUGGUA